rnacentral:rRNA from 1 species
UACAGAGGGUGCAAGCGUUAAUCGGAAUUACUGGGCGUAAAGCGCGCGUAGGCGGCUUGACAAGUCGAGUGUGAAAUCCCCGGGCUUAACCUGGGAGCUGCAUUCGAAACUGUCUUGCUAGAGUAUGGGAGAGGGAGGUGGAAUUUCAGGUGUAGCGGUGAAAUGCGUAGAUAUCUGAAGGAACAUCAGUGGCGAAAGCGACCUCCUGGACCAAUACUGACGCUCAGGUGCGAAAGCGUGGGGAGCAAACAGGAGUUAGAUAC